AACGACCUACGGGAGGCAGCAGUCGGGAAUAUUGCGCAAUGGAGGAAACUCUGACGCAGCAACGCCGCGUGCAGGAAGAAGGUCUUCGGAUUGUAAACUGUUGUCGCAGGGGAAGAAGACAGUGACGGUACCCUGUGAGAAAGUCACGGCUAACUACGUGCCAGCAGCCGCGGUAAUACGUAGGUGACAAGCGUUGUCCGGAUUUACUGGGUGUAAAGGGCGCGUAGGCGGGAUAGCAAGUCAGUCGUGAAAUGCCGAGGCUUAACCUCGGAGCUGCGAUUGAAACUGUUAUUCAUGAGUAUCGG
rnacentral:rRNA from 1 species